UGCGUAGGUGGGCAAGUAAGUCAGUGGUGAAAUCUCCGGGCUUAACCCGGAAACUGCCAUUGAUACUAUUUGUCUUGAAUACUGUGGAGGUCAGCGGAAUAUGUCAUGUAGCGGUGAAAUGCUUAGAUAUGACAUAGAACACCAAUUGCGAAGGCAGCUGGCUACACAAAUAUUGACACUGAGGCACGAAAGCGUGGGGAUCAAACA
rnacentral:rRNA from 1 species